rnacentral:snoRNA from 1 species
GAUUGAUGAUAAUUCAGGCUUGUCUGCAGAAAGUGACAUUCAAGUUUAUAUUUAAACAGCAGAAAUC